ensembl:lncRNA
CGGCUGCGACGGCGCACAAGCGCGGGCGAGAGGAGCUACCCCACGUCCGAGGUCAGGGGCAGAAGCCAGGAGGACCCCGUGCCCGAGGGGCAGCGGCCAAGAGGAGCUACCCCGCGUCCGAGGUCAGGGGCUGCGGCCAAAAGUGCCAGGCUGCAACGGCUCAUGAGCGGCCGUGAGGAGCUACUCCCCGCCGGAGGCCAAGGGCGGCAGCCGGGAGGAGUUACCCCACACCCGAGGCCAGGGAUGGCGGCUGGGAGGAGCUACCCCAGGGCCAAGGAGCAGUGGCUGCCCGGGCGCAGGAGGGCCAAGAGGAGCUACUCCACGUUCAAGGUCAGGAGGGGCGGCGGUGAGGAGAUACCCCACGACCAAGGUCAUGUAUGGAUGUGAGAGUUGAUCCGUGAAGAAAGCUGAGCGCUGAAGAAUUGAUGCUUUUGAACUGUGGUGUUGGAGAAGACUCUUGAGAGUCCCUUGGACUGCAAGGAGAUCCAACCAGUCCAUUCUGAAGGAGAUCAGCCCUGGGAUUUCUUUGGAGGGAAUGAUGCUGAAGCUGAAACUCCAGUACUUUGGCCACCUCAUGUGAAGAGAUGCUGUGGAAAGAUGCUGGAUCAGUCAGAUGCUGGAGACAGGAUGGACAUGAUUUCCAGUCCUCGCAUCCAAAGAAUGUGAAGAAACCGAGGCUCAGAGAGGUCACCAAACUCGUGCAACUUGCACAGCUGAUAUGUAGAUGACAUGGCAUUUGAUUACCAAGUCAUCUGACUCCAAGUCUGCUGCUCAUGAUGCUGCAUCUCAUUGCCUCCAAGGUGCUGUACUCGGAGGGAGGAGUCUCCAUAAGCUAAAACUAAGCAAGACUGAUGAAAUGGAGUCAAUUUUAUUCCACCUCUCUAGCUGAGGACAGAACAGGUACCUAAUUCGAUAGAAUACUUCUUACAGUUCUUCCAAAAAAAAAAAAAAUGUAGGCCUGGCUUUUCUGUCUCCAGGUGGUAACCGCAGGAUUUUGGGGGUUGAUGACAUCAAGAAGGUGCUAGGAUGCUGACUGCCUGCUUGAGUGGGGUCCAGCUCCUUCUAGAUACAAACUGUGGAUGCUCUUAGCAACUCUCAUAUGUAUACCCCCAAACCCUGCAGUCAAUUCAGACAUGUUUUGAAAUGUGACAACCUGCCAAACAGAGUGGCAGGUGCUGCAAGGUAGAUGCAGGUGAACUAUGCAGAUGAAGCCCCCUCCUCAGGGCUGACCUUCUGGUUGGGAGACAGGCAAGGGAGCUGGUCACAAGUAAGACAUUUUAUGUGUUAGGAAGAUGAUGAAAG